rnacentral:tRNA from 1 species
UAGGAGGCGGCUGUGGAGGCAUGCAGUUGUAACCUGCAUUACGGAAAGUAUUUUUCCCUUCUAA